AUGUGCGUGGGGUAGGGGAGCGUUCUGUAAGCCGUUGAAGGUGGUCUGUAAGGGCUGCUGGAGGUAUCAGAAGUGCGAAUGCUGACAUGAGUAACGAUAAAGGGAGUGAAAAACUCCCUCGCCGGAAGACCAAGGGUUCCUGUCCAACGUUAAUCGGGGCAGGGUAAGUCGACCCCUAAGGCGAGGCCGAAAGGCGUAGUCGAUGGGAAACGGGUUAAUAUUCCCGUACUUCUUACAAUUGCGAUGGGGGGACGGAGAAGGCUAGGUGGGCCUGGCGACGGUUGUCCAGGUUCAAGUACGUAGGCGGAAGAAUUAGGUAAAUCCGGUUCUUCUUAACGCUGAGAUACGAUGUCGAGCUACUACGGUAGUGAAGUCAUUGAUGCCAUGCUUCCAGGAAAAGCCUCUAAGCUUCAGAUUGUAAGGAAUCGUACCCCAAACCGACACAGGUGGUCGGGUAGAGAAUACCAAGGCGCUUGAGAGAACUCGGGUGAAGGAACUAGGCAAAAUGGUACCGUAACUUCGGGAGAAGGUACGCUCUUAUCAGUGAAGUCCCUUGCGGAUGGAGCAGACGAGAGUCGCAGAUACCAGGUGGCUGCAACUGUUUAUUAAAAACACAGCACUGUGCAAAAUCGUAAGAUGACGUAUACGGUGUGACGCCUGCCCGGUGCCGGAAGGUUAAUUGAUGGGGUUAGACUUCGGUCGAAGCUCUUGAUCGAAGCCCCGGUAAACGGCGGCCGUAACUAUAACGGUCCUAAGGUAGCGAAAUUCCUUGUCGGGUAAGUUCCGACCUGCACGAAUGGCGUAAUGAUGGCCACGCUGUCUCCACCCGAGACUCAGUGAAAUUGAAAUCGCUGUGAAGAUGCAGUGUACCCGCGGCUAGACGGAAAGACCCCGUGAACCUUUACUACAGCUUGGCACUGAACAUUGAACCUACAUGUGUAGGAUAGGUGGGAGACUUUGAAACCGCGUCGCUAGAUGUGGUGGAGUCGUCCUUGAAAUACCACCCUUGUAGUUUUGAUGUUCUAACGUUGGUCCCUGAAUCGGGAUUACGGACAGUGCCUGGUGGGUAGUUUGACUGGGGCGGUCUCCUCCCAAAGAGUAACGGAGGAGCACGAAGGUGGGCUAAACACGGUUGGACAUCGUGUGGUUAGUGCAAUGGCAUAAGCCCGCUUGACUGCGAGAAUGACAAUUCGAGCAGGUGCGAAAGCAGGUCAUAGUGAUCCGGUGGUUCUGAAUGGAAGGGCCAUCGCUCAACGGAUAAAAGGUACUCCGGGGAUAACAGGCUGAUACCGCCCAAGAGUUCAUAUCGACGGCGGUGUUUGGCACCUCGAUGUCGGCUCAUCACAUCCUGGGGCUGAAGUCGGUCCCAAGGGUAUGGCUGUUCGCCAUUUAAAGUGGUACGCGAGCUGGGUUUAGAACGUCGUGAGACAGUUCGGUCCCUAUCUGCCGUGGGCGUUGGAAAAUUGAAGGGGGCUGCUCCUAGUACGAGAGGACCGGAGUGGACGAACCUCUGGUGUUCGGGUUGUCAUGCCAAUGGCAUUGCCCGGUAGCUAAGUUCGGAAUCGAUAACCGCUGAAAGCAUCUAAGCGGGAAGCGAGCCCUGAGAUGAGUUUUCCCUGAC
rnacentral:rRNA from 1 species